UUUCUUCCCAAAACGCGUCUACUGUGGUCUCUUGGGGCUUGCCCUUAUAAGGCGUCCCCCCUCCUUACCUCUUUCCGAUGUGGGAUACUUUCAAUCCACCUCAUAGGGCUUCUACCCCCCAUAAGGCCUGAGCGUCCUCGCUCAGCACACCGUACUCAUGAGGCCCAGGCUCUGAUACCAAUUGUAACAUCCUCUGGGCCCACAAUAGUAGAUAUUGUCCGCUUUGGGUUCGAGGGCCUUGGCCCUUAUAAGGCGUCCCCCCUCCUUCCCUCUUUCCGAUGUGGGAUACUUUCAAUCCACCUCAUAGGGCUUCUACCCCCCAUAAGGCCUGAGCGUCCUCGCUCAGCACACCGUACUCAUGAGGCCCAGGCUCUGAUACCAAUUGUAACAUCCUCUGGGCCCACAACAGUAGAUAUUGUCCGCUUU
rnacentral:lncRNA from 1 species